UACAUUUACAAACUCUACUGAAUGUUUACGUUGUUUUCUCAAACAAUAUUUGACGAUGUCAUAGAGUAGGAUUGUAGGAUACUCUAUGGGUAUGGUGGCUAGAGGGGGGUAGUGUGGCGGGCGCCUCAUCCGCGCCGUGGAGGACAUAGAGUUAGUAGAACAAAUCUAGCCGGAAAAGUGGGAACCUCUAGGGCGCCGCCCUGUUGCUACUGGUCAAUGUGGCCAGCGCAAUUACUAUUGAAAGAGCUGAAAACAAAUACAGGUCACCUUAUGCUUUUUCAACUAAAAACGCAUACCUGAUGGCUUUAUGAAGGUGGUGCGUUAAUAUUAAGUUUACAGAAAGCGAUCGCUAAGUCUGUGACUUAUGUAAAUAACGAUGUACGCAUUCAUGCAAUAAAGGAUGACGCGAAUUUCGGUUUCGAAUCUGUUUUUUGGACGCGUAGUAGUUUCGUACAGUUUAGGUUUGACAUGCGAUCGCGCGUCCACAUCGGACGCUAUGGCACACUCGUGCCUUAUGUGCCACCGAAGCCCAGAAGUGCUCUGGCAUAUACCUUCACAUGUUUCCCUUCAGUAGGAAAUCGCUGGACAGGCGGACCAGCGCACCGGAAUUGUACUGGCCAAGCGACAAGCAACUCAAAGAAUCUGUUUAAUUGCUGCACUUUGAACAAUCAUGCUUCUACAAAGUCCACAGCAGAAAAACAGCCUGAUGCCGAGUAUUUCUGUGCCACGAAGUAAUCAAGAGGCGAGUGCCUAAUGCGGACGAAAUCGACUGCAUCGAGACUUAGAACGACAGAAAGCUGAGCUAGUUGAUAUACAAUGGCAAGCCCUUCCGUGUGUUCCAAAGGUAAAAUUUAAGCUCUAAAUUAAAGAAGACAUUUCUAGUCAGAGACAAGCAAAAAUGUUGAAUGCAGAGUAUGAGAAGCCCAAGGUACAGAAAUUAUGAGAAGUGUCGAAUGAUUUUAAGGAAAGAGUCUUAUUUGAAACUGCAAGACUCUUUAGUGGAGGUCAAGCAAGUCAAUGUAGGUAGAAUACUCUGCAAAAUUAUGCGAGUGAGGGGAUGUCAAACAAUGGGUCAGGAAAUGCGUUGGUUUUCUGCAAAACAAUGCAUAAGUCACUUUAGCAUCAUGAGACUGCUGCUUGAUAAAUUCAGAAAUAAACCAAACAACAAGACUCGCAAAAAUAAAAAAAAAACAAUUUAAUGGUGCUCUCCCCACACUGGGAUAAAUAAAAACAUCACAUCUAAUGUGGACAUAUCAGACGCCUUGUGAAACACUAAAGGAAAAAUUCACUUUCGAGCUAUGGCACUUGCCGCAUAGAUGUGGGGGACCUUGCACUAAUAGUGGUAGUUACCACUGCAUUUAGAAAUUGAAAGCAUUCAUGCAGACAAGGAUGAUUCUUUAUAUUUUUGGCUACCACUUCACAUGCCUCCACCAAGUGUUACAAUGUUGCACGCAGCCAUACUAAGGAUGUCGCAGCAACACCUGCAGGUAAAAAGCAGAAGCAGUCGAAGUGCUGGUGUAUUCUGCACACUAGCUUUGAAAACUUUUGGGCAAGAACAGUGCAAGAAGCAGACAUAACAACUGCAUUUAUUUCCAUAAUUCCCCAUUUGAAUGGCCUUUUCUUUUUGCUUAGACAAUGCCUACGCCUAGGCACAGCAGCUCCCUCAUACAGACUCCGCAAGCCAAGAGGCCGUGGAGGCAAAUGCAGGUAAGAGGCAAGAAGCAAUAGCACUAGUAUCGACAUUCACCUGAUUUCUUAGUUUUUCUUUCGUUUAGGCAGCCAGCACACCUCGAACAGCCACCUUGAUUGCAGGUGUGUCACCCUAGUCGCCAAGGAAACAUUUGAGGGAAAGCGACAGGCAAUGUGAACAGCCACUUCUCCAUGCAAACGAUACUCUUUCUCUCGGAUGACUCCUACGCCUCGCCACGCCAGCACUCUUGUGCACAAAGAUGCCGCGGAGGCACGUGCAGGUCAGAGGCAAGAAGCAGUGGCACUGGUGUCGACAUUCACCCAAUUUCUUUUUCUUACACUGAGGCAGCCAGCACACCUCGAACAGCCACCUUGACUGCGGGCGUGUCAGUAGAUUCCUGUUGCACAUAUGCUCAUAAUAAACUUCAGUAAACUUGAACUUGAUAAUAAACUUGAUGGCAAAUGGGA